rnacentral:rRNA from 1 species
AACGAACGCUGGCGGCAGGCUUAACACAUGCAAGUCGAACGCCCCGCAAGGGGAGUGGCAGACGGGUGAGUAACGCGUGGGAAUCUACCCAGUUCUACGGAACAACUGAGGGGAACUUCAGCUAAUACCGUAUACGCCCCAAGGGGGAAAGAUUUAUCGGAAUUGGAUGAGCCCGCGUUAGAUUAGCUAGUUGGUGGGGUAACGGCCUACCAAGGCGACGAUCUAUAGCUGGUCUGAGAGGAUGAUCAGCCACACUGGGACUGAGACACGGCCCAGACUCCUACGGGAGGCAGCAGUGGGGAAUAUUGGACAAUGGGCGCAAGCCUGAUCCAGCCAUGCCGCGUGAGUGAUGAAGGCCUUAGGGUUGUAAAGCUCUUUCAGUAGGGACGAUAAUGACGGUACCUACAGAAGAAGCCCCGGCUAACUACAUGCCAGCCGCCGCAGUAAUAC